rnacentral:rRNA from 1 species
AAGCCCCGGCUUCACCUGGGACGUUCAUUCACAACUGGCAGACUUUGAUUCCUUGAGAUGGGAUUGAAAUUCCAUAUGUAUCCGGUAAAAUACGUAGAUAUCUUGAGGAACAUCAUUGCCGAAGAGACUACCUGGCAAAGACCGACGCUCAUGUGCGAAAGUGUCGGUAGCGAACCGGAUUAGAUCCCCUGGUAGUCCACACCGUAAAAGCUGUUUUCUAGCUGUGCGUGUCUCUAAGAAGUUCGUAGCGAAUCUUCAAGCGCUAAAGUUGUCCCCCUUGGGAAGUACGCCCCCCCAAGGGUUAAAACUCAAAUGAAUUGACGGGGGGCCCACCACAAGCGCGGGAGCAUUUGGUUUAAUUUGAUUUAACGCGAAGAGCCUUACCCACACUUGUCACGCGGAGAACUUUCUCGAGAUAGCCUCUUGUUCUUGGGGAAUCAGAGACACGGGCGGCACGUCUGUCUUUACAUCUUGUCUUGAGAGAUUGAGGUUUAUUCCCCGCAGCGGGCGCAACCCUUGUCCUUAGUCCACCGCCUUAAGGGGCGCUCUCUAGGGAGACUGCCGGUGACAACCCGGAGGAAGGGGGGGACGACGUCAAGUCAUCAUGGCCCUUACGUGUAGGGCUACACACGUGCUACAAUGGCAUUUACAGAGGGAAGCGAGACAGUGAUGUGGAGCGGACCCCUUAAAGAAUGUCGUAGUCCGGAUUGGAGUCUGCAACUCGACUCCAUGAAGUCGGAAUCGCUAGUAAUCGCAGGUCAGAAUGUGCG